AACGUAGGGUGCGAGCGUUAAUCGGAUUUACUGGGCGUAAAGCGUGCGCAGGCGGCCCGUUAAGACAGGUGUGAAUCCCUGGGCUCAACCUAGGAAUUGCGCUUGUGACUGGCGGGCUCGAGUACGGUAGAGGGGGGUGGAAUUCCUGGUGUAGCAGUGAAAUGCGUAGAGAUCAGGAGGAACACCGAUGGCGAAGGCAGCCCCCUGGGCCUGUACUGACGCUCAUGCACGAAAGCGUGGGGAGCAAACAGG
rnacentral:rRNA from 1 species